rnacentral:rRNA from 1 species
UGUAGGCGGCCAGGUAGGUCCGUUGUGAAAACUCGAGGCUCAACCUCGAGACGUCGAUGGAAACCAUCUGGCUAGAGUCCGGAAGAGGAGAGUGGAAUUCCUGGUGUAGCGGUGAAAUGCGCAGAUAUCAGGAAGAACACCUAUGGCGAAGGCAGCUCUCUGGGACGGUACUGACGCUGAGCGCGAAGCGUGGGAGCGAACA